rnacentral:rRNA from 1 species
GCAAGCGUUGUCCGGAUUUAUUGGGCGUAAAGAGCGUGUAGGCGGCCAUGCAGGUCCGUUGUGAAAACUCGAGGCUCAACCUCGAGACGCCGAUGGAAACCGCAUGGCUAGAGUCCGGAAGAGGAGAGUGGAAUUCCUGGUGUAGCGGUGAAAUGCGCAGAUAUCAGGAAGAACACCCGUGGCUAAGGCGGCUCUCUAGUACGGUACUGACGCUGAGACGCGAAAGCGUGGGGAGCGAACAGGAUUAGAUACCCUGGUAGUCCACGCCGUAAACGAUGGGUGCUAGGUGUGGGGGGUGUCGACUCCCUCCGUGCCGAAGCUAACGCAUUAAGCACCCCGCCUGGGGAGUACGGCCGCAAGGCUA